CACGUAGGGGACGAGCGUUGUCCGGAUUCAUUGGGCGUAAAGCGCGCGUAGGCGGCUCGGAAAGUCGGGCGUGAAAUGCCGGGGCUCAACCCCGGGACUGCGUCCGAUACUGGGCGGCUAGAGUCUGGUAGGGGGAUCUGGAAUUCCUGGUGUAGCGGUGGAAUGCGCAGAUAUCAGGAGGAACACCGGUGGCGAAGGCGGGAUCCUGGGCCAGUACUGACGCUGAGGAGCGAAAGCGUGGGGAGCAAACAGG
rnacentral:rRNA from 1 species